rnacentral:tRNA from 1 species
ACUAUUUUGGCAGAUAAGUGCAUUAGAUUUAGAAUCUAUUAAUGUAGAUUUUUAUUUACAGGUAGUA